UGGGCAGGUGGAUCCAACUUCCGGGCGUGCAGGGGAGGCGAGCGCACUGGGUACCGGAGUCCACUUUGCUUGGAUUUACUCCGGGAGGGAGUAGCGGGAAAACCGGAGAGCAGGCCUGAGCACAGCUCGGAGCUUCUGGCCGCCCAUUCUUUCUGAAUGACGGUGCUGCUUGUGAAGAUCUUAAAAUCAGAUGUUGGCAGAAGAUAGGAAACUCCUUGGUCAGAGACAAAAGACUUCAUCACUUAAUGGCACAGGUUGUCUUGAAAGUCUCUUGAUGAAAGCAGGAAAAUGAGUCGAGAGGUUUACUAAUAAAUGGAGAAUACAGAUUUGGAAAAGGCUCAUGCCUGUUACUCGAUUUCCGUGUCCAACAAGCUCAACUGGGAGUUAAACGCAAGUCUUGAACUCCUAAAUUCUAUCACAAAUCUAUGGAUAAAAAUUCAUUCUCUGUGUCCGUGGGCUGAUUCAACUCCAGAUCAACCAGUGAAAACUGACCUCUUAGAGAUGAUUCAAGAACAGCUGAAUGAGUCUGUAGCACAGCAGCCUUACAAACAGGGAGGCCUGAUUUUUGAGUUUGGCCUGGGGAUAGAAAGUCAAAAGCUGGCAGAAGACAGAUGCUUUGCAGAAGUGACAAAUUUCGUUUCCUGGAGAAAGUUGCUGACUGCAAUGUUCCAAUUGGAGCAGCUUAUCUGCCCCUCCAGAUGUUGAAAUAAUGACAGAUGCUCAGAGAAAGCUUGACAAGAGGAAGAAAAGAGCCUGCUGAAGAGUCCAACCUGUUUGUAUGUGGGAGAAUAAAAGUAACACUUACUGAGAUCCGUA